AGGCACACCUAGGCUUCUCAGUUUUCACUGUUCAAGAGAAAGCUCUUUAGAGGUUUGGAAUAUCUACGGGAUUUGGUCCACAACCCAGGCAUGUGCCCUGACUGGGAAUGGAACCAGUGACCUCUUAAUCUGCAGGAAUGAUGCCACAACCCACGGAGCCAUGCCAGCCAGGCUGGCACUCAAUCCACUAAGCCACACCAUCCAGAGCUGGAUUAUAAGUCUUGAUGACUUCUGGCCAAGAUGGAGGCAUACUUGCACAACCAAAAGAAGGACAACAACAAAUUUAAAAACAAAAAACAACCAGAACUGCCAGGAAAUCAAACUGUACAGAAGUCUGACAACCAAAGUGUUAAGAAGAAACAUUCAUUUACACUGGUAAGAGGGAUGGUGACAAGCAGCUGGUGUGGAGAAGACAUGUGACAGGCAGCAGCUGGUGGACCAGUCAGUCCCACAUGUGUGUGCGGAUAAACCAGGAGGAACAAUGGGGGAGUGAGAAAGACCACUCAAACCAAGGUUUCAAUGCAGGGAAAUAAAGCCUCAAAACCUCUGGCUGUAAAAACCUGUGGGAACAGUAAAAUGACAAUAAACUCAUAGACAUUAACAACUGAACGUAAAAAACAAAAACAAAAAGAAACUAAGCGAUCUACUAGAACAGGAACAGAAUCACAGACAUGGAGAUCACACUGGAGGGUUAUCAGCAGGGAGAGGGAAGAGAGAGAAAGGGGAAAAAGGUACAGGGAAUAAGAAGCAUAAUUGGAAGGUACAAAAUAGAUGGGGGGAGGUUAAGAAUAGUAUAGAAAAUGGAGAAGCCAAAGAACUUGUAAUGUAUGACCCAUGGACAUGAACUAAGGAGUGGCGAAAUGCUAAUGGGAGGAGGGGAAUAAAGGGAAAUAAAGGGCAAAGGGGAAAAAAGGGACAACUGUAAUAGCAUAUCAAUAAAAUAUAUUUAAAAAAAUAAAAUAAAAUCUUCCUCUUAGAACUCCUUAAUAACAUUCUGAAAGUUUUAAUACAUAAACCUA